rnacentral:rRNA from 1 species
AACCAGCUCUUCAAGUGGUCGGGAUAAUUAUUGGGCUUAAAGUGUCCGUAACUGGUAGGGUAAGUUCCUGGUAAAAUUGGGCAGCUUAACUGUCCUUAUGCUAGGAAUACUACUCUACUAGAGGGCGGGAGAAGUCUGAGGUACUACAGGGGUAGGGGUGAAAUCUUAUAAUCCUUGUAGGACCACCAGUGGCGAAAGCGUCAGACCGGAACGCGCCUGACAGUGAGGGACGAAAGCCAGGGGAGCGAACCGGAUUAGAUACCCCGGGUAGUCCUGGCCGUAAACGAUGCGCACUGGGUGAUGGUGCGGCUAUGAGCCGCAUCAGUGUCGUAGGGAAACCGUUAAGUGUGCCGCCUGGGAAGUACGGUCGCAAGGCUUAAACUUAAAGGAAUUGGCCGGGGGAGCACCGACGAAGGGGUGAAGCCUGCGGUUC